GCCCGGAUGGCGAAAUUGGUAGACGCGCUAGGUUCAGGUCCUAGUGGAAGCAAUUCUAUGAGAGUUCAAGUCUCUCUCCGGGUA
rnacentral:tRNA from 1 species